UGUCACUGAUUUUGGAAAAUUAUCAGCCUUUAUUAUUUCAUAUAUUUCUUCUGCUUCUUUCUCUCCUACUUCUAGUAUUCUCAUAUAAGCAUAUUAUACCUUUAGUAAUUGUCUACAGUUCCUGGAUAUUUUGUUUCUUUUUUUAUAUCUAAUUUUUGCAUUUCAGUUUGGGAAAUGUUAAAAGAAAAACUUCAUGCAAAUUAAAUUUAAAGGAGUUUAAUUGAGCAAUGAACGAUUGGUGAAUCGGGCAGCUCCCAAAAUCACAGCAAAUUCACAGAGACUCCAGUGCAGCCAUGUGAUGGAAGAAGAUUUAUAGACAAAAAAAGGAAAUGACAUACAGAAAUCAGAAGUCAAGUACAGAAACAACUGGAUUGGUUACAGCUUGGUGUUAGCUUUAUUUAAACAGGGUUCAAACAGUUGGCUACAUUUGAUUAGUCAAAAUUCAGUCAUUGGCACAGGUGCGGGCUAUGGUUGGUUUAUACCUCCACUUGUUAUAGUUCAAGAUGUGCAGAAAAACCUUUAGGCCGAACUUAAAUAUGUAAGGAGGCAACUUUAGGAUAAACUUGAUUAACAGAAGUUUCUAUUAACAUAUCUUCAAUCUCAUUGGUUCUUUCCGCUGAUUCUUCCCGCAGCUGUUUCCAGUCUACUGGUGAGCCCAUCAAAGGUUGUCUGGGAGGAGCUCCAUCUGGGCUGCCAGAGUGCCUGGGCUAGGUACUCCAAAGUCCCCUGGCGAGUGCCAGUAAGAGGUAAAGCCUGCUGGGCUUCUGGGACAGGUGGGGACUUGGAGAACUUUUCUAACUAAAGGUUUUUAAAUGCACCAAUCAGUACUCUGUGUCUAGCUAAAGGUUUGUAAAUGCACCAAUCAGCGCUCUGUGUCUAGCUAAUCGGCUGGGGAUUUGGAGAACUUUUGUGUCUAGCUAAAGGAUUGUAAAUGCACCAAUCAGCACUCUGUGUCUAACUAAAGGUUUGUAAACGUGCCAAUCAGCAGUCUAUCAAAACGGACCAAUCAGCUCUCUGUAAAACGGACCAAUCAGCUCUCAGUAAAAUGGACCAAUCAGCAGGAUGUGGGUGGGGCCAGAUAAGGGAAUUAAAAGCAGGCCACCCCAGCCAGCAGCGGUAACCCACUCCCAUUCCCUUCAAUGUUGUAGGAGCUUUGUUCUUUUGUUCUUCGAAAGAAAUCUUGCUGCUAGUCUCUCUUUGGGUCUGUGCUGUCUUUAUGAGCUGUAACACUCACCAUGAAGGUCUGCAGCUUCUUUCCUGAAACCACCGAGACCACAAACCCACCAGGAGGAACUAACAACUCCGGACUCACCGCCCUUUAGAGCUGUAAUGCUCACUGCGAGGGUCUGCGGCUUCACUCCUGAAGUCGGCGAGACCACGAACCCACCAGAAGGAAAAAACUCCGGACACGUCCGAAUAUCAGAAGGAACAAACCCCGGACACACCAUCUUUAAGAACUGUAACACUCACCGCGAGGGUCGGCAGCUUCAUUCUUGAAGUCAGGGAGACCAAGAACCCACCAAUUCCAGACACACUAAUAUAAAGUGUUAACAUUAGGGGAAACUGGGUGAGGG
rnacentral:lncRNA from 1 species